rnacentral:rRNA from 1 species
CAUGAGCAAAAUCUCAACUUUAUUAGAAGAGACGCAUUUAUUAGAUAAAAAGCCAGUUCAUGCUUUUACAGUAUGAAAAUUGGUGAUUUAUAAUAACUUAGCAAAUCGCAAAGUGAAAACAGGCGAUAAAUCAUUCAAGUUUCUGACCUAUCAGCUUUCGACGGUAUGGUAUUGGCUUACCGUGGCAGUGACGGUUAACGGGGGAUUAGGGUUCGAUUCCGGAGAGGGAGCCUGAGAAACGGCUACCACAUCUAAGGAAGGCAGCAGGCGCGCAAAUUACCCAAUUCUAACAGUUUGAGAGAGGUAGUAACAAGAAAUAACAAUACAAGGCAGUUAAAAUGCUUUGUAAUUGGAAUGAUAGAAAUUUAAACCCUUUUUAAAGUAUCAAUUGGAGGGCAAGUCUGGUGCCAGCAGCCGCGGUAAUUCCAGCUCCAAUAGCGUAUAUUAAAAUUGUUGCAGUUAAAAAGCUCGUAGUUGAAGUUCUGCUGAAAGUAACCGGUCUGCUUUUAAUAAAAGUGGUAUCUUGGUAUGUAUUUAGCAAUGAUGUCCUUUGAAGUGUUUUUUACUUUAUUGUAAUAAAGCAUAUUCAGGACUUUUACUUUGAGAAAAUUAGAGUGUUUCUAGCAGGCUAACGCUUUGAAUACUGCAGCAUGGAAAUAAU